rnacentral:rRNA from 1 species
UGUGGCUGGGGGUGAAAGGCCAAUCAAACCGGGAGAUAGCUGGUUCUCCCCGAAAGCUAUUUAGGUAGCGCCUCGUGAAUUCAUCUCCGGGGGUAGAGCACUGUUUCGGCAAGGGGGUCAUCCCGACUUACCAACCCGAUGCAAACUGCGAAUACCGGAGAAUGUUAUCACGGGAGACACACGGCGGGUGCUAACGUCCGUCGUGAAGAGGGAAACAACCCAGACCGCCAGCUAAGGUCCCAAAGUCAUGGUUAAGUGGGAAACGAUGUGGGAAGGCACAGACAGCCAGGAUGUUGGCUUAGAAGCAGCCAUCAUUUAAAGAAAGCGUAAUAGCUCACUGGUCGAGUCGGCCUGCGCGGAAGAUGUAACGGGGCUAAACCAUGCACCGAAGCUGCGGCAGCGACACUAUGUGUUGUUGGGUAGGGGAGCGUUCUGUAAGCCUGUGAAGGUGUGCUGUGAGGCAUGCUGGAGGUAUCAGAAGUGCGAAUGCUGACAUAAGUAACGAUAAAGCGGGUGAAAAGCCCGCUCGCCGGAAGACCAAGGGUUCCUGUCCAACGUUAAUCGGGGCAGGGUGAGUCGACCCCUAAGGCGAGGCCGAAAGGCGUAGUCGAUGGGAAACAGGUUAAUAUUCCUGUACUUGGUGUUACUGCGAAGGGGGGACGGAGAAGGCUAUGUUGGCCGGGCGACGGUUGUCCCGGUUUAAGCGUGUAGGCUGGUUUUCCAGGCAAAUCCGGAAAAUCAAGGCUGAGGCGUGAUGACGAGGCACUACGGUGCUGAAGCAACAAAUGCCCUGCUUCCAGGAAAAGCCUCUAAGCAUCAGGUAACAUCAAAUCGUACCCCAAACCGACACAGGUGGUCAGGUAGAGAAUACCAAGGCGCUUGAGAGAACUCGGGUGAAGGAACUAGGCAAAAUGGUGCCGUAACUUCGGGAGAAGGCACGCUGAUAUGUAGGUGAAGCCCCUGCGGGUGGAGCUGAAAUCAGUCGAAGAUACCAGCUGGCUGCAACUGUUUAUUAAAAACACAGCACUGUGCAAACACGAAAGUGGACGUAUACGGUGUGACGCCUGCCCGGUGCCGGAAGGUUAAUUGAUGGGGUUAGCGGUAACGCGAAGCUCUUGAUCGAAGCCCCGGUAAACGGCGGCCGUAACUAUAACGGUCCUAAGGUAGCGAAAUUCCUUGUCGGGU